UCCGGCUUGUCACCGGCAGUCUCCUUAGAGUUCCCACCAUUACGUGCUGGCAACUAAGGACAAGGGUUGCGCUCGUUGCGGGACUUAACCCAACAUCUCACGACACGAGCUGACGACAGCCAUGCAGCACCUGUGUUCCGAUUCCCGAAGGCACUCCUGCAUCUCUGCUGGAUUCCGGACAUGUCAAGGCCAGGUAAGGUGGGGAUGACGUCUUCGGAUUC
rnacentral:misc_RNA from 1 species